CAGCCGCCGCGGUAAAACGAAGGGGGCUAGCGUUGUUCGGAAUUACUGGGCGUAAAGCGCACGUAGGCGGAUUGUUAAGUUAGGGGUGAAAUCCCAGGGCUCAACCCUGGAACUGCCUUUAAUACUGGCAAUCUCGAGUCCGAGAGAGGUGAGUGGAAUUCCGAGUGUAGAGGUGAAAUUCGUAGAUAUUCGGAGGAACACCAGUGGCGAAAGCGGCUCACUGGCUCGGUACUGACGCUGAGGUGCGAAAGCGUGGGGAGCAAACAGGAUUAGAUACCCCUGUAGUCCCUGUCUCUUAUAA
rnacentral:rRNA from 1 species